GCGUGCAGGAAGAAGGCCUUCGGGUUGUAAACUGCUUUUGUACGGAACGAAACGGUAAGAGCUAAUAUCUCUUGCUAAUGACGGUACCGUAAGAAUAAGCACCGGCUAACUACGUGCCAGCAGCCGCGGUAAUACGUAGGGUGCAAGCGUUAAUCGGAAUUACUGGGCGUAAAGCGUGCGCAGGCGGUUUUGUAAGACAGGCGUGAAAUCCCCGGGCUCAACCUGGGAAUGGCGCUUGUGACUGCAAGGCUCGAGUACGGCAGAGGGGGAUGGAAUUCCGCGUGUAGCAGUGAAAUGCGU
rnacentral:rRNA from 1 species